CCUACGGGUGGCAGCAGUGAGGAAUAUUGGUCAAUGGGCGUAAGCCUGAACCAGCAAAGUCGCGUGAGGGAUGAAGGUUCUCUGGAUCGUAAACCUCUUUUAUAAGGGAAUAAAGUGUGGGACGUGUCCUGUUUUGUCUGUCCCUUAUGAAUAAGGAUCGGCUAACUCCGUGCCAGCAGCCGCGGUAAUACGGAGGAUCCGAGCGUUAUCCGGAUUUCUUGGGUUUAAAGGGUGCGUAGGCGGCCUUUUAAGUCAGCGGUGAAAGUCUGUGGCUCAACCAUAGAAUUGCCGUUGAAACUGGGAGGCUUGAGGAUGUUUGAGGCAGGCGGAAUGUGUGGUGUAGCGGUGAAAUGCUUAGAUAUCACGCAGAACCCCGAUUGCGAAGGCAGCCUGCCAAGCCAUGACUGACGCUGAGGCACGAAAGCGUGGGGAGCAAACAGGAUUAGAUACCCGAGUAGUC
rnacentral:rRNA from 1 species